rnacentral:rRNA from 1 species
UAGUCUGGUGCCAGCAGCCGCGGUAAUUCCAGCUCCAAUAGCGUAUAUUAAAGUUGUUGCAGUUAAAACGCUCGUAGUCGGAUUUCGGGGCAGGUUUGCCGGUCUGCCGAUGGGUAUGCACUGGUAGAACUGUCCUUCCUUCCGGAGACGGCGCCUACUCUUAACUGAGCGGGUGUCGGAGACGGAUCGUUUACUUUGAAAAAAUCAGAGUGUUUCAAGCAGGCAGCUCGCUUUUGCAUGGAUUAGCAUGGGAUAAUGAAAUAGGACUUUGGUGCUAUUUUGUUGGUUUCGAACACCGAAGUAAUGAUUAACAGGGACAGUCAGGGGCACUCGUAUUCCGCCGAGAGAGGUGAAAUUCUUAGACCAGCGGAAGACGAACCACUGCGAAAGCAUUUGCCGGGGAUGUUUUCACUGAUCAAGAACGAAAGUUAGGGGAUCGAAGACGAUCAGAUACCGUCGUAGUCUUAACCAUAAACCAUGCCGACUAGGGAUUGGAGGAUGUUCCUAUGUGACUCCUUCAGCACCUUUCGGGAAACUAAAGUCUUUGGGUCCCGGGGGGAGUAUGGUCGCAAGGCUGAAACUUAAAGGAAUUGACGGAAGGGCACCACCAGGAGUGGAGCCUGCGGCUUAAUUUGACUCAACACGGGGAAACUUACCAGGUCCAGACAUUGUGAGGAUUGACAGAUUGAGAGCUCUUUCUUGAUUCGAUGGGUGGUGGUGCAUGGCCGUUCUU